GACAACGCUGGCGGCGUGCCUAACACAUGCAAGUCGAGCGAGUGGAGUCUUCGGAACAAAGCUAGCGGCGGACGGGUGAGUAACACGUGGGCAACCUGCCUCAUAGAGGGGAAUAGCCUUCCGAAAGGGAGAUUAAUACCGCAUAAGAUUGUAGCUUCGCAUGAAGUAGCAAUUAAAGGAGCAAUCCGCUAUGAGAUGGGCCCGCGGCGCAUUAGCUAGUUGGUGAGGUAACGGCUCACCAAGGCGACGAUGCGUAGCCGACCUGAGAGGGUGAUCGGCCACAUUGGGACUGAGACACGGCCCAGACUCCUACGGGAGGCAGCAGUGGGGACUAUUGCACAAUGGGGGAAACCCUGAUGCAGCAACGCCGCGUGAGUGAUGACGGCCUUCGGGUUGUAAAGCUCUGUCUUCAGGGACGAUAAUGACGGUACCUGAGGAGGAAGCCACGGCUAACUACGUG
rnacentral:rRNA from 1 species